rnacentral:rRNA from 1 species
UACGGAAGAUCCAAGCGUUAUCCGGAUUUAUUGGGUUUAAAGGGUGCGUAGGCGGCUUUUUAAGUCAGGGGUGAAAGACGGUGGCUCAACCAUCGCAGUGCCCUUGAUACUGAAGAGCUUGAAUACACUAGAGGUAGGCGGAAUGUGACAAGUAGCGGUGAAAUGCAUAGAUAUGUCACAGAACACCGAUUGCGAAGGCAGCUUACUAUGGUGUGAUUGACGCUGAGGCACGAAAGCGUGGGGAUCAAACAGG